CAGCAGCCCGGGAAAACGUAGGUGGCAAGCGUUGUCCGGAAUUAUUGGGCGUAAAGGGCUCGCAGGCGGUUUCUUAAGUCUGAUGUGAAAGCCCCCGGCUCAACCGGGGAGGGUCAUUGGAAACUGGGAAACUUGAGUGCAGAAGAGGAGAGUGGAAUUCCACGUGUAGCGGUGAAAUGCGUAGAGAUGUGGAGGAACACCAGUGGCGAAGGCGACUCUCUGGUCUGUAACUGACGCUGAGGAGCGAAAGCGUGGGGAGCGAACAGGAUUAGAUACCCCGGUAGUCCCUGUCUCUUAUACA
rnacentral:rRNA from 1 species